AAGAACUUGCCUCUUAGACCGGGACAACAUCUGGAAACGGAUGCUAAUACCGGAUAUUAUGGUUUUUUCGCAUGGAGGAAUCAUGAAAGCUAGAUGCGCUAAGAGAGAGCUUUGCGUCCCAUUAGCUAGUUGGUGAGGUAACGGCCCACCAAGGCAAUGAUGGGUAGCCGGCCUGAGAGGGUGAACGGCCACAAGGGGACUGAGACACGGCCCUUACUCCUACGGGAGGCAGCAGUGGGGAAUAUUGGACAAUGG
rnacentral:rRNA from 1 species